AAGAAACAAAAUGAAAAUCAUUAAUAAAGAAUGUAUCUUCAAACUCCUCUUCUCCAGUGCCGAAGAAUCAACCUGUUUAACCAAUGCAAUGAAAUCUAACAAAAUCAUGGGAAGAAGCUGGUACCUCCUUCAGGCCAAAAUAAAACGAUGAAGCCCAAGGAGGGAAGUGCUGGAAUCAUGGCUAAAAAUAUCAGGUGAGAAGGAAGUGACGGGAGCUCUGAGACAUCUUCAACCCAUGGAAUGUUUGGACAAUGUCCUGUGGCCCCAAAGUGCUGUGGAUUCCACCAAUUUCAAUUGGUUCCCACUGGCGAAUCCUGGGAAAUAUCCAGGCUGUGUCCACAGCACUCCCUCCAGUGUUGCUUCUUAGAGAGUGGUACCAUCUCAGUCUGCAGGAAGUGGGCACUGCCUUGGGGCAUCCAGGUCUUCCUGCUCAGCACUGCACCAGCCUCUCAGGAACUGGGUUAGGGCUCUGGUGGUAAAUAUGAGCUCUACCCACAGGGUGUUAUGAGGCCACCAAGAACUAUGCUUCUUAAGAGCCUUUAAUGGGGGAAAUGAAACUGGCGGGAUAUUUAAUAAAUUAAAAUGCAGGAUAUAGAAUUUAUUAUAUAAUGUGAUCUCAGGCAUGUAAAAAUGUAUUGGGACAAUCUGGAAGGAAAUACAACAAAAUAGAAAUAUUUUUUUUCUUUCUGAUAGGAGUAGGAACUUGAGUUAUCUUCUUCUUUAUAGUUUACUAUAUUUCUCAACUUUUCUACAAUAAGCAUGUAUUAAAAAAAAAAAAAAA
rnacentral:lncRNA from 1 species